rnacentral:lncRNA from 1 species
UUGCAAUGUCAACUUUGAUCUAGGGGAUCAAAGUGAGGAUUGAGCUAGUUGGAUAUCAUCCCCGAGUGAUUUGUGAUGCGUGUGAAUGAAUUCUGGAGAUAAAUAAGUGUUUCGGCGCAAAUUGGACGCGAAACGAAAUGUAAAGAGAAUUUUCAGAUUUCCGAUGCUAACUUUGAUUAAAAGAAUUAAAGUGAGCAAAAUAAUAUAAAAAUGGUGCGAGAUAAUAUUUUAUUGGACUUAAGGGUGUAAAAUAUAAGUCUGGAAUGACUCGUGUUGGCAUCGGAGCGAAAACAGAAGAUUUAGAAUUUUUUGUAAAGAACGGGACUGAUAAAUUAGCAGAAAAUGCAGUGUCAGAAAAUUAUGAAAACUGGAGGAUAUGUCAGGAAUAUUUUUAUGAGGCUAGAUUUAAAGUUUCACAUUAUUUUGACACCCGUAGAGAGAGAAAUAGAGUCCGAAAGCUACCUGAUAAAGAUUGCAGUUCGGUACAGUUUGCGGUGAACAAAUGGGAUCGGAACUGAAAUGUUAAAAUUUCUUUGGACUUAUUAAGUAAAACUGAACAUGCCUGUCAAAUUUGAGCGCAAACGGACAUUUGGAAGGGCU